UGGCCAUUUGAAAAGAAAACAAAACAGAUCCUAAAGCCCCUUUUCUUCCCUUCUCAUUCGGCCGAAUCAAGAGGCGCCCUUGGACUGCCGUUUGGCCUCCAUGUUUAGCCGCCGGUCAUCACGCUAAAGCCUAAUCAGGCUCUGUCCAAUCACGAAUCCAAGGCUACGCUCAAAGAUCUCAGAAUCAACACCCAAACUCCGAUUGCAACGAAGCCAGUGAGGAUUCGAGGGAACCAAAAACGAAGGUACGGAGUGCGUGCUUGGCGUACGAGGGUUGUGCUGGCGUACGGAGGCCAGGGUUGGCGUGGAUGGAGGCGCUGGGGGGCUCGGACUGCUGCGGCGCAAGUAGACAGCUAGGGCUCUGUCUAAUUUUAAUAUUUUGGGCCUAUUGGGCCUUGUAAGUGUGGGUUAGGUUUAAUUGUUGGGCUAGGGGUUAUGUAGCUGGUUUGGGGCUGUUAGUUUGGGCUAUUGGUUUUUAUAAUUGGACUGUGUUAUUAUUAUUAUUAUUUAUUUA